rnacentral:rRNA from 1 species
UACGAAGGGGGCUAGCGUUGCUCGGAUUGACUGGGCGUAAAGGGCGCGUAGGCGGUUCGUACAGUCAGACGUGAAAUUCCUGGGCUCAACCUGGGGCUGCGUUUGAUACGUGCGGACUUGAGUGCGGAAGAGGGUCGUGGAAUUCCCAGUGUAGAGGUGAAAUUCGUAGAUAUUCGGAGGAACACCAGUGGCGAAGGCGGCUCACUGGUCCAUUACUGACGCUGAGGUGCGAAAGCGUGGGGAGCAAACAGG